UAACCUGCCCUUGGGUCCGGCAUAACCCCGGGAAACUUGGGAAUAUUCCGGAUAACGCACAUAUGCUGAAAUGCUUUAUGCGUAAAAUGAAUUCGUCUGCCCAAGAAUGGGUCUGCGGCCUAUCAGGUAGUAGUGGGUGUAAUGUACCUAUUAGCCUACAACGGGUACGGGUUGUGAGAGCAAGAGCCCGAAGAUGGAUUCUGAGACAUGAAUCCAGGCCCUACGGGGCGCAGCAGGCGCGAAAACUUUACAAUGCGGGAAACCGUGAUAAGGGGACACCGAGUGCUAGCAUCAUAUGCUGGCUGUCCAGGUGUGUAAAAUACACUUGUUAGCAAGGGCCGGGCAAGACCGGUGCCAGCCGCCGCGGUAACACCGGCGGCCCGAGUGGUGAUCGUGAUUAUUGGGUCUAAAGGGUCCGUAGCCGGUUUGGUCAGUCCUCCGGGAAAUCUGAUAGCUCAACUAUUAGGCUUUCGGGGGAUACUGCCAGACUUGGAACCGGGAGAGGUAAGAGGUACUACAGGGGUAGGAGUGAAAUCUUGUAAUCCCUGUGGGACCACCUGUGGCGAAGGCGUCUUACCAGAGCGGGUUCGACGGUGAGGGACGAAAGCUGGGGGCACGAACCGGAUUAGAUACCCGGGUAGUCCCAGCCGUAAACGAUGCUCGCUAGGUGUCAGGCAUGGCGCGACCGUGUCUGGUGCCGCAGGGAAGCCGUGAAGCGAGCCACCUGGGAAGUACGGCCGCAA
rnacentral:rRNA from 1 species